rnacentral:rRNA from 1 species
UACGUAGGGUGCGAGCGUUAAUCGGAAUUACUGGGCGUAAAGCGCACGUAGGCGGCUUUGCAAGUUAGAGGUGAAAGCCCGGAGCUUAACUCCGGAAUUGCCUUUAAAACUGCAUCGCUAGAAUUGUGGAGAGGUGAGUGGAAUUCCGAGUGUAGAGGUGAAAUUCGUAGAUAUUCGGAAGAACACCAGUGGCGAAGGCGACUCACUGGACACAUAUUGACGCUGAGGUGCGAAAGCGUGGGGAGCAAACAGG